rnacentral:rRNA from 1 species
CAGCCCUAAACGGUGCGCGUUAGGUGUAUCGGUGACCACGAGUCACCGAGGUGCCGAAGGGAAACCGUGAAACGUGCCGCCUGGGAAGUACGGUCGCAAGGCUGAAACUUAAAGGAAUUGGCGGGGGGAGCACCACAACGGGUGGAGCCUGCGGUUUAAUUGGACUCAACGCCGGGAAGCUCACCGGAUAAGACAGCGGAAUGAUUGCCGGGCUGAAGACCCUGCAUGACCAGCUGAGAGGAGGUGCAUGGCGUAGUCGUGU